AGAGUUUGAUCCUGGCUCAGGAUCAACGCUGGUGGCGUGCUUAACACAUGCAAGUCGAGCGCGGUCCCUUUGGUGCUUGCACCAAAGAAGACUGAGCGGCGGACGGGUGAGUAACGCGUGGGUAACCUGCCCUAUACACAUGGAUAACAUGCUGAAAAGCAUACUAAUACAUGAUAACGUACACUGAUGGCAUCUUCGGUGUAUCAAAGCGUUAGCGGUAUAGGAUGGACCCGCGUCUGAUUAGCUAGUUGGUGGGGUAAAAGCCUACCAAGGCCACGAUCAGUAGCCGACCUGAGAGGGUGAUCGGCCACAUUGGAACUGAGACACGGUCCAUUCUCCUACGGGAGGCAGCAGUGGGGAAUAUUGCACAAUGGGCGAAAGCCUGAUGCAGCAACGCCGCGUGAACGAUGAAGGUCUUCGGAUCGUAAAGUUCUGUCGCAGGGGAAGAUAAUGACGGUACCCUGUGAGGAAGCACCGGCUAACUACGUGCCAGCAGCCGCGGUAAUACGUAGGGUGCUAGCGUUAUCCGGAUUUACUGGGCGUAAAGGGUGCGUAGGUGGUCUUUCAAGUCGGUGGUUAAAGGCUACGGCUCAACCGUAUUAAGCCGCCGAAACUGGAAGACUUGAGUGCAGGAGAGGAAAGUGGAAUUCUCAGUGUAGCGGUGAAAUGCGUAGAUAUUGAGAAGGACACCAGUAGCGAAGGCGGUUUCUGGACUGUAACUGACACUGAGGCACGAAAGCGUGGUAAGCANACAGGAUUAGAUACCCUGGUAGUCCACGCCGUAAACGAUGAGUAUUAGGUGUCGGGGGUUACCCCCCUCGGUGCCGCAGUUAACGCAUUAAAUACUCCGCCUGGGGAGUACGCACGCAAGUGUGAAACUCAAAGGAAUUGGCGGGGACCCGCACAAGUAGCGGAGCAUGUGGUUUAAUUCGAAGCAACGCGAAGAACCUUACCUAAGCUUGACAUCUCUCAGAUCGGUAGUUAAUCCUACCUUCCCUUCGGGGCUGAGAUGACAGGUGGUGCAUGGUUGUCGUCAGCUCGUGUCGUGAGAUAAAGGGUUAAGUCCCGCAACGAGCGCAACCCUUGUCUUUAGUUGCCAGCAUUAAGUUGGGCACUCUAGAGAGACUGCCAGGGAUAACCUGGAGGAAGGUGGGGAUGACGUCAAAUCAUCAUGCCCCUUAUGCUUAGGGCUACACACGUGCUACAAUGGGUGGUACAGAGGGUUGCCAAGCCGCAAGGUGGAGCUAAUCCCUUAAAGCCAUUCUCAGUUCGGAUUGUAGGAUGAUACUCGCCUACAUGAAGCUGGAGUUACUAGUAAUCGCAGAUCAGAAUGCUGCGGUGAAUGCGUUCCCGGAUCUUGCACAGACCGCCCGUC
rnacentral:rRNA from 1 species